rnacentral:rRNA from 1 species
AUUGAACGCUGGCGGCAGGCCUAACACAUGCACGUCGAGCGAGCGGAGAACGGGUGAGUAAUGUAUGGGGACUGCCCGAUAGAGGGGGAUAACUACUGGAAACGGUGGCUAAUACCGCAUACUGUCGGAUAACCCAGAUGGGAUUAGCUAGUGUGUAAGGUAAUGGCUUAACUAGGCGACGAUCCAUAGCUGGUCUGAGAGGAUAAUCAGGCCCACGGGGACUGAGACACGGCCCAGAGUCCUCCAGACUCACCAAUUUUAAAUAUUGCACAAUUGGCGCAAGCCUGAUACGGCCAUGCCGCGUGGAUGAAGAAAUCCCUAGGGUUUUAAAGUACUGUCAGUCGGGAGGCGUUACCGACAGAAGAAGCACCGGCUAACUCCGUGCCAGCAGCCGCGGUAAUUG